rnacentral:pre_miRNA from 1 species
AAACAUCAUGGUUUUACAUUGUUUAUGUCAAAUGUUUAAUCGUUCGUUUUAUUUAAAAAAGUUUUAUGAUUAGUAUUUUUGUUAUUAUUAGAUGAUAAAACAUGAAUAUUAUUUUAUGUGUGAUUAUUUUUUUAAAAAAAAUUUAUUAAUUUUUAAAUAAGAUGAAAGGUCAAAUAUUGAACACAUAAAUCCACAGUUACAUUAAAA